AUUGAACGCUGGCGGCAGGCCUAACACAUGCAAGUCGAGCGCGCGGCGGACGGGUGAGUAAUGUAUGUGGGUCUGCCUGCGGUAGAGGGGUAACUCCUGGGAACGGUGUCUAAUACCGCGUACCCCCAGAUGAACCCCUAUGGGAUUAGCUUGUAGGUGAGGUAACGGCUCACCUAGGGGACGAGCCCUAGCUGGUCUGAGAGGAUGAGCAGCCACACUGGGACUGAGACACGGUCCAGACUCCUACGGGAGGCAGCAGUGGGGAAUAUUGCACAAUGGGCGCAAGCCUGAUGCAGCCAUGCCGCGUGUAUGAAGAAGGCCUUCGGGUUGUAAAGUACUUUCAGUCGGGAGGCGUUACCGGCAGAAGAAGCACCGGCUAACUCCGUGCCAGCAGCCGCGGUAAUUC
rnacentral:rRNA from 1 species